rnacentral:misc_RNA from 1 species
GAAAUCUCACAAGCCCUGGUUUACGCUCGCGGAAACCGGGGGGAAAGUGGAUGUGGGUGCACUUGCAAGCCUGGCUUGCGAUGCAUCUAUAAGUGAUUGUGACGUGCGCCAAUUGUCGUGUCAACUGGUCGUCCGAAGCGCAACAGAUUCAUCUAUUCGUUUUGGUCAUCAGCUGGCUGACUUGGAGGCAUGGGACUCAACUUGUCAACCGGGGCCCUGCAGUUUGCAGAGCUCGCUGAUA